AAAUUUCAGCAGCAUUUAACUUAAAUUCCAAACACCUCAAACAGACAAAAUAGUUCUCAUAGCCGCACUAGCUCAUAUAUUACCUCUGGUAGCACUUCAUCAUCAAACACCACAAAAGUCACCUAGUUCUCAAACACCUCAUACAUGACAGACAAAAUAGUUCUCAAACACACAAAGUAGUUCUCAAACACACCACUAGCAUUACUGUCACCUAGCAGCACUAGCCUUACUGUCACCUAGCUCAUAUAUUACCACUAGCAUUGAAGUAACUAGCUCAUCCAGUAUUGCCAGAAGUAGAAGCACUAGCAGCCCAUCUUGGGGCUGAGAAACCUCCUCUUCCAGCACCUCUACCAGCAGCAGCACCUCUUCUAGCUCUUCCAGUAGCAGCACCUCUUCCAGCAGUAGCACCAGCUCC
rnacentral:lncRNA from 1 species